rnacentral:pre_miRNA from 1 species
UUUCUUGUCUUAGAUUUGUCUAGAUACAGAUGUAUCUAAUACUAAAAUGUGACUUGAUACAUCCGUAUCUAGACAAAUCUAAGACAAGAAUUUUGGGACGGAGGGAGUACUUU